AUUGAACGCUGGCGGCAUGCCUUACACAUGCAAGUCGAACGGCAGCGGACCUUCGGGUGCCGGCGAGUGGCGAACGGGUGAGUAAUAUAUCGGAACGUACCUUUCAGUGGGGGAUAACGUAGCGAAAGUUACGCUAAUACCGCAUAUUCUGUGAGCAGGAAAGCAGGGGAUCGCAAGACCUUGCGCUGAUUGAGCGGCCGAUAUCAGAUUAGCUAGUUGGUGAGGUAAGGGCUCACCAAGGCGACGAUCUGUAGCGGGUCUGAGAGGAUGAUCCGCCACACUGGAACUGAGACACGGUCCAGACUCCUACGGGAGGCAGCAGUGGGGAAUUUUGGACAAUGGGCGCAAGCCUGAUCCAGCCAUGCCGCGUGAGUGAAGAAGGCC
rnacentral:rRNA from 1 species